ACUCCUGCGGGAGGCAGCAGUGGGGAAUAUUGGACAAUGGGCGCAAGCCUGAUCCAGCCAUGCCGCGUGUGUGAUGAAGGCCCUAGGGUUGUAAAGCUCUUUCACCGGUGAAGAUAAUGACGGUAACCGGAGAAGAAGCCCCGGCUAACUUCGUGCCAGCAGCCGCGGUAAUACGAAGGGGGCUAGCGUUGUUCGGAUUUACUGGGCGUAAAGCGCACGUAGGCGGACUAUUAAGUCAGGGGUGAAAUCCCGGGGCUCAACCCCGGAACUGCCUUUGAUACUGGUAGUCUUGAGUUCGAGGGAGGUGAGUGGAAUUCCGAGUGUAGAGGUGAAAUUCGUAGAUAUUCGGAGGAACACCAGUGGCGAAGGCGGCUCACUGGCUCGAUACUGACGCUGAGGUGCGAAAGCGUGGGGAGCAAACAGGAUUAGAAACCCUGGUAGUCCCA
rnacentral:rRNA from 1 species